UACGUAGGGCGCAAGCGUUGUCCGGAAUUAUUGGGCGUAAAGAGCUCGUAGGCGGCCAGUUGCGUCUGCUGUGAAAUCCCGGGGCUCAACCCUGGGAUGCCGGUGGAUACUGUCGAGCUCGAGUCCGGAAGAGGCGAGUGGAAUUCCUGGUGUAGCGGUGAAAUGCGCAGAUAUCAGAGGAACACCGAUGGCGAAGGCAGCUCGCUGGGACGUGACUGACGCUGAGACGCGAAAGCGUGGGGAGCAAACAGG
rnacentral:rRNA from 1 species